UGGAGCACAGAAUAGACACCCAUCCCCCGAAUGGCAAUGGUGUUGGCAAAUGUGAGCUUCUCUAGGUCUGUUAAUAUCGAAAACACCUGGGAUAAAUGAAUUUUAUAGUUUUCACCUUGGUACAUAGCCAUUAUGUAAGCUCCUAAUGCAUCUCGGACAUCCACGUGCUAUUAUACACAAGGGGGACAGUCUGGAAGAACACACCCUGUUCACAGCACCGCUAUUAAACAGAACUACAUCCCUCUACCUUAAAAAGAACACUUCAGAGCAGCCUGAAAACCCUGAAAAAAUAUCGAUAAUGGCAGGCAGUCAGGCAACAGUGGGCAGGCUGGGCCCUUCUGACACACCAGGGGAGUUACCAUGAAAUUGCAGGAAGAUGGAGAUGAAAAUGACUUAAAGAUUGCAGCAGAUUCUGCCAGGUCUGCUCCAGAAAUCUACUUCUGCAUCUUGGGAAGCCCAUCUUAACUGCAUUUCUUAGCUUUCCUUGGAGUUAGUGUGGCCAUGCGAUGGAGUUCUACCAAGAACAUGAGCAGGAGCGAUGUGGACCAUUUUGGAGCCACGGCCUUUCAGCAACAUGUUCGCCCUUGCCAUGCUCUCUCUGCCCAUCUGGUAGACCAGAAGUAAAUGACAACAAGCACGGAGUGGGCAGCAGAGUCACAAAAUGGAAGCUGCCUGGUUCUCUGAAUCACCAUGUGAGAAAAGCUGCCCACCGACUAAGAAUGCCUGCUUUGGGCUGUUACAUGAACAAAAACUAAAUAUGUAUUGUGUCUGAGCCACUGCACAUUUUUAGGGUUUAUCUGUCACAAAGGGAGUCCAAUCCCAUAGACAGUGGCAUAACCAGGUCAAGAAACAGGUAUGAGGCCUCUCAUAUACUAAAGAGAUUUACAAAACAGAUGACUGUGACUGACCACACGGAAACUCCACAGCACAACUUGUGAAUUCUUCCAAGGUGCUACCUGCUGCUGUGCCUGGAGCCCAGGGCCAGCCUCCCUCAGUCCAGGGGUACUACUGCAUAGCAUUUGUGGAAGUGAGAUCUAAAGAUUAAGUAAAAGAAUGAUUCAGCAGAUUAUAAAGUGUUGAAUAGGACAGUGAACAUCUGAGUUAUAAGAUAUAUCAAAAUACUGGGCAACAUAAGAGGAAGAAAUGAAAAAUGUUUUUAGAGCUUCUUGGCAAAAUAUGCAUUGCUCUUUGAUAUGGGUUUUUAUUGCCCAUCUAAACAGUUCAUAAUACAAAUCAAAUUUAUGUCAAUAAGGAGCCAAGAAACUAUAAUUCAGAUGACCAUUUAUUUAUAGCAGGGAUAGCUCUAAGUAUUAAGUUCCUUUUUAGGUUUCCUAAGUGAGGACUGUUAGAUA